UCUGCUAAGAACUCAGGCUCUGUGCGUCAAGAACUGGAGGGAGCAAGAUGAAGCCCAGUGUUAGGACAAAGUUAUUUGGAUUUUACUUUCUCCUUAGCUUAACUACCACUACUUAGAGUUCCAGGCUGAAUUUGGAGGACAAGUAGUCUGGGAAAAAGCAAUGAAUUCCUUUUAACUUUUAACAAGGCAGCCUUAACCAAAAAGCAUGAACCUUUCCACUUCAUUCAUCUCAGUGAAGUGCCAGCUUCGCACUCCUUGGUUUCACUCAAUGUCAGUGCCACUUGCUUUAUUGCUGAGUGUUUUAUCUGGAGGUUUGGAAGGGGCAUGCUGAGAUGUGCAGGGAAAUAAAAGCACAGGAAAGAAGAACAAUGAUACAGAAAGGAAGAAGGCAUCAGAUGUCUUCUGCAUAUGGGUGACGAGCCCCUCUGGUGACUGCAGAAGAAAUGGGAGCUGGAGCUUUGUUUGUCUCACCCAUCACAACGCCCAACCCCUGAGGGCAGCCACUUCUGUUGCACUGAUGCCAAAGACAGAAGUCUUU